CCAACGUUAAAGUACACUGCAUAAUUUGUGUGGCAGGUUAAAAUAUUUUUGAAGGUAAACAUUUUAAAUUUUGCACGAAGUUCCCUUUUGGCUGCAAAUAACUUUCUUUUUUUCCUGUCAAUAAUUUCAGAGACAACCCAUCACCAUCUCCAGCAAUGCUCAGAAAUUGAUGUUUGCCUCAAACUACUUCUUGAACAUUUCACACCCAGGAGUGCAAAGUGCAAGGCUAGAGUUUGUGCAAAGCAGGUUUCUUUUAAAAUGGAACCCAGAGAAGUAUCGGAAGUAGAGAAGACCAGAGGAAUCAGAGAAGAAUCGGAAGUGGAGAAGACCAGAUCAAGGAAGACCACAUUGAGAUCUGCGGAGGAAACCGAAGAGCUCGAGGAAAACCCACACAAACACGGGGAGAGCAUGCAAACUCCACACAGAAAUGCCGGCUUGGCCAGCAAAAACAGAUCACACUUCACUUUACUUCAGUGAAAUAUUGGACCAGAUGUUCCAGAAAGGGGAUGGGAAAACUCUGCCUGCUGAAGUGGACUCUGUCCAACGUUAAAGUACACUGCAUAAUUUGUGUGGCAG